rnacentral:rRNA from 1 species
AUACGGAGGAUCCGAGCGUUAUCCGGAUUUAUUGGGUUUAAAGGGUGCGCAGGCGGCCAUUUAAGUCAGCGGUUAAAUCGUGGGGCUCAACCCCAUUCUGCCGUUGAUACUGGGUGGCUUGAUUGCGGUCGAGGUUGGCGGAAUUCGUUGUGUAGCGGUGAAAUGCAUAGAUAUGACGAAGAACACCGAUUGCGUAGGCAGCUGACCAGACCGCAAAUGACGCUCAUGCACGAAAGUGCGGGGAUCGAACAGGAUUAGAUACCCUGGUAGUCCGCACAGUAAACGAUGAAUACUUGUUUUCGGCGAUAUAAUGUCGGAGGCAAAGCGAAAGCGAUAAGUAUUCCACCUGGGGAGUACGCCGGCAACGGUGAAACUUAAAUGAAUGGGCGGGG